AUUGAACGCUGGCGGCAGGCCUAACACAUGCAAGUCGAGCGGAGCGGCGGACGGGUGAGUAAUGCCUAGGAAUCUGCCUGGUAGUGGGGGAUAACGUCCGGAAACGGGCGCUAAUACCGCAUACUAUCAGAUGAGCCUAGGUCGGAUUAGCUAGUUGGGGGGGUAAAGGCAUCACAAGGCGCCGAUCCGUAACUGGUCUGAGAGGAUGAUCAGGCAAACUGGAACUGAGACAGUGUCUAGACUCCUGCGGUAGGAAGCAGUGGGGAAUAUUGGACAAUGGGAGAAAGCCUGAUCCAGCCAUGCCGCGUGUGUGAAGAAGGUCUUCGGAUUGUAAAGCACUUUAAGUUGGGAGGCGUUACCAACAGAAUAAGCACCGGCUAACUUCGUGCCAGCAGCCGCGGUAAUUC
rnacentral:rRNA from 1 species